rnacentral:tRNA from 1 species
GCUGCUAUAGCUCAGUCGGCAGAGCGCGUCCUUGGUAAGGACGAGGUCACGUGUUCGAAUCACGUUAGCAGCUCCA